UCUUAAGGCACUCUCUAUUUAGCUGCUUCCGCCGCGUCAUCAAAUACCAUAUUCGCCAAUUUUAGUACCCAAUUAAAAAAGAUAACCAAUAACUAAUUUAAUAACUAAUUAUGUCAUGUGUGAUUCAAUUUUAGAUUCUAUUAUUCUGGCAUUUCGCUUGGUUCUUUUGUGUUCUUUUAAUAAUAUAUAGAUAUACAGUUCAUACCAACAAGGUGUAUGAAAUCUAUACCGCUGCGAUCUAAGUUCCUCGUCGCCCAAAACCUAACUGGUCAAAGGUAAGGAACUCUUCAAAAUUUUCAUCUUCCGGGUAGGUAUUAUGCAUUUUGGUUCUCACAUACACGGUGGAUUAUUUGAUGGUGAAUUGGUCUAGGAGUUAUUGUGGGUUUCCAUUAUGUUUUAUUUUUCUGUAAAAAGUUGUAGAUUACUUCAAAUACUCUACAAUUUAGCAUUUCUAUCUCGAUUUAGACAUUGUUUUGAUGAUAUAAUAGUUGGUAAUUUCUGGAAUUUCUAUUCACUUUAGUUUCAGUUUUCUCUUUUAUUUUUGUGCUCUUUGUGUAAUGGGUAUUCUGCAAUUUUGUCUCAUUUCUUACACUGAUUUAUAUUUCUGAUUUGUUAGUAUAAUAAUUAGACUAUGUUGGAUUUUUGGUCACUAUUUGCUUUAAUUUUAUUGCUGGUGGAUUAUAUGCAAAAUAAAGGAAACUCUGGAUCAAGAAAUAUUGUGAAAACUAGUUCCCAAAAUUUUCUUGAGAAGCCAAUGAAUCAAAUGAAAUUAGAACAAGGUAAUUAUGUUUGAUGGAAUCAAUGUUGGCUAAUAAGAAAUUGACAGUCACAGCUCAUGUAUUGCUCUUUAUGAUCCAAAAAAAGUAUAAUAAGUACGUCAUGUAGGAGGUUGAUCUUGUAUAGAUUGUUUUUCAACUAUGACUAAUAAGGAUUAUUCAAUCAAAUUUUGAAAGGUCGAAUAAUACUCUUAAGAAAAGAUUAAAUCAGCCUCUAAUAAGAAUUUAAAAGUAAGAAGUUAACUUGGACUUUCAUAAAUUUUUUGGUAGUAGUUUACAAAUACACAAAGAUAUGCUUUUCUUUAAUACCAUUCUUAUCAGUUGUUCUUUGUCCUCUAAUAUUAUUGUCGCUCCAUCUUAUAAGAUUGUUGUCCCUGUUGCAUUUACUAUUCGCAUUCUCUUCUUUUUUCAAUGAAGUGUAUUCACAUUUUCUUCUUGUGAACAGUAUUGUUCAGGAUAGCUGGGUUGACUUAAACUGUACACUAAUCUGGAAACACAAUUAGGUCUCGAUUUAAUGUGCUGUAUCGUUUCACUUCUGGAUUUUAACCUCUAGAAUCGAUCUAACAAAAUUAAGUUCUUUACAGUUGGACAAAGUUACUUCUAUCCGUGCUGAAUUGAAGUGGCUCAUUAUUAUUGCCAAAUUAUGAUGACAAAUACAAAGGUCUUGCUGCUACGUACGAUAUCGAGUAAGUAUUGUUAAGCUUUAUCACUAGGUGGUAUAUGCCAAUGUUAGUUAAUAAUGUUGCUAUUUCCGUUGUUUAAAUCAAAGUUGCAGGAACUAGCUAGUAAGAAGAGCAAGUACCUAUUAUCCAGAGCUACGACCAAUAGAGCAUCCUCUCUUGAAGGUUAAUUAGCUUACUGAUUGCUAUAGUAUUCUUUAAAUUGAUUAUAGUCUCACCCUAAAUAUCAGCAGAAAACAAAGUAUUAUUGUCCCUUGCUACAAACGAGUAAGAAGUAAUCUUUGGUCCUACUUUAGGAAGCAUUGGAUCAAUCAAGGAUCUUCUGAUAUUUAGACACACAAGAGCCCUAAGCAGUGUGUUUUUUAAAAAUUUGGUUUGAUUCAAAGUCUUGGCUCUUAUUGUCACACUUUAAAGCAGAUAUCAACUAUAAUGUACGAUCCACUCUCCUGCUUCAUUAAGUCCUUAGAAAUGCUAAAUGAAUCAUAUCUUGCAUUUGCAUUGACAAAUAGCUGAAAGAUUUACAAUAAGAAGUGUAAAUGUAAAGUUAUGUGAGAGGGAUGUCUACAAGUUCUAAAAUUUCAGUGUUGUCCCAAAAUUCAUGCUGACAAUAUAACUUUUAAUAUAUAGUACAUUCUGAUUAUGUUGACUUUUCAUAUAGUUUUUUAGGUUCUUAAGUUGAAGAAUCAAGAAAGAAAUGGAUUGUAAGCUAGCAAAGUUGGAUAUAUGAUGAGAAUAAAUUUAGAAGGAUAUCUGUUGUUCAUCCAACUCUAACUAACUUUCUACCCCUAGCGUAGGGGUAAGGUAUACAUAUACACUACCUUCCCAAACUCCACUUGUGGGAUUACACUGGAUUUUUGUUAUUGUUGUUGUUGUUGUUGUUGUAUAAAAUCAAUUCUAGAAAAUAUGUGAUUUCUUUAAGAAAAAUUUCAUAUGACAAGUAAACUUAAGCUGUUUCAUGUGGACAUAAUUCCACCAUUUUCUUAACUUUUUUUUUUAUAAUUGCUAUUGCAGCUUAUGGAGGAGCACAGAAAGCAUCCAGAUCGAUUGGGACAUGAGUGACUAUUUUUUUCUCUUGUAAAAGUAUAUUGAUAUGUUUGAGUAGAGCAACCUUUUAAUAGUUUAAUUUAUUUUGAAUGAUAUUGUUGAACCUUUAGUUAUGUCUUCUUGCUAAUGUAUUGAAAUAUACAUUAUAUUUUAUUAUGUUUGCAUAGACAUGGAGAAGUUCGGAAAAUGUUUUAUCUCAAAUAUAUACAAAGUAUAUUCAGAUUUCAUCAAGAAAUACAUAAA
rnacentral:lncRNA from 1 species